GAGAGCCGUGUGCAUUGAAAGGUGCAAGCACGGUUCGGGGGGAGGCGCUGGGGCGUCCUCGAAAGAGGCGCCUCGCGCCCACCCUAC
rfam:Sphingobium czechense LL01 genomic scaffold 25410_scaffold_06, whole genome shotgun sequence.